rnacentral:rRNA from 1 species
GAUGAACGCUAGCGGCAGGCUUAAUACAUGCAAGUCGAACGGUAACAGGUGUAGCAAUACGCGCUGACGAGUGGCAGACGGGUGAGUAACACGUACGCAAUUUUCCUUUAUCUGGUGGAUAGCCUCGGGAAACCGAGAUUAAUACACCAUAGCAUUUCGGGUUGGCAUCAACUUGAAAUUAAAGCUCAGGCGGAUAAAGAUGAGCGUGCGUUUGAUUAGCUUGUUGGUAAGGUAACGGCUUACCAAGGCAACGAUCAAUAACUGGUGUGA